UGCAUUGUGACGUCAUAAACUUGGCAGCGACGUCAUGUUAGUCCUUCACAAGCCGCGAUGGCUGCUUAUUUUGACACAAUAACACAGACUUUCACAGCGCUUGAGACUUCAUGUAAUAACAGUAUGGUCCUAUGGAUUUCAGUACCAAAACUGAUUUUCUACCGUUUUUCUUCCAAGAAAGUUCUGAACAGCUGAAUCCUGGAUCAGCCUAGAUGUUAUUUCACUGGAUUAUUUAAUGAAUAUUACUCUACUGAGUUACCUGGUUACAUGGAUCAGCUGAGAUGUUAUUUCACUGGAUUAUUUAAUUGGGCAUAUAAUUGGAUAAUUCUGUCCUCAACCUGGAAGAUAUGUUUUAUUCCCAACCAUCUAUAAUCCAUUCUCUAUGAAGUUCAGCCUGUCUGCCCAAAUUCCUUUGGAAAUACAUAGUUAGUCAACCAACAUAGAAACAAUCAAACUUGAAGUCCUCAACAUGGAAGAAUUGGUUUGUUCUUAACCAUCUAUAAUCCAUUCUCUAUGAAGUGAAGCCUGGCUGCUGGUCUUCCUUUGGAAAUACACAGUUAGUCAAUCAACAUAGAAACACACAAACUUGAAGGAUUCUCUAGUGAGGGCUUAUGGAAAUGAUCUAUGUCUACUCUUAGAAUGGUGAAAGACUAUCAGAUUAUGCAAAGACUAACAGAAUAUCCUCUCUUGGAACACUGAAACAAGAAAACCAAACUUAAGAGGAUGGAGGAUUUAAGAAGAACAUAGAUAAAUAUGAUUUCCAACAAAUUUAACCAGUACGAUCAUAGACUGUGGUUUACAGGAUGACAAAGAAAGGACCCAGGAUUGUAUCUUUCACUGUCAGACACUGACUAUGGAUAAAGUGUAAUCAUUUAUCAAACUGAGAUCUAGUCAAAUCAAGUAUUGAAAAUAUGAUUUUCUGAUAGCAUGAGCUCUUUAAAAACUAAUUCUCACGGACCUCAAAGUAUCUGAAUGUGACUUUUAUUUUUUACCAAUUCAUAUUGAAGACUGUUGUUAUGUAUGGGAAUUAC